rnacentral:rRNA from 1 species
CGGGCGGCAGCAGUGAGGAAUAUUGGUCAAUGGACGGAAGUCUGAACCAGCCAUGCCGCGUGCAGGAAGACGGCUCUAUGAGUUGUAAACUGCUUUUGUACAAGGGUAAACCUGAAUACGUGUAUUCAGCUGAAAGUACUGUACGAAUAAGGAUCGGCUAACUCCGUGCCAGCAGCCGCGGUAAUACGGAGGAUCCAAGCGUUAUCCGGAUUUAUUGGGUUUAAAGGGUGCGUAGGCGGAAGGUUAAGUCAGCGGUCAAAUGUCGGUGCUCAACACCGGCCUGCCGUUGAAACUGGUCUUUUUGAGUGAGCGAGAAGUAUGCGGAAUGCGUGGUGUAGCGGUGAAAUGCAUAGAUAUCACGCAGAACUCCGAUUGCGAAGGCAGCAUACCGGCGCUCAACUGACGCUGAGGCACGAAAGCGUGGGGAUCGAACAGGAUUAGAUACCCGUGUAGUC